rnacentral:rRNA from 1 species
GAUGAACGCUGGCGGCGUGCCUAACACAUGCAAGUCGAGCGAUUCUCUUCGGAGAAGAGCGGCGGACGGGUGAGUAACGCGUGGGUAACCUGCCCUGUACACACGGAUAACAUACCGAAAGGUAUGCUAAUACGGGAUAAUAUGAGAAAGUCGCAUGGCUUUCUUAUCAAAGCUCCGGCGGUACAGGAUGGACCCGCGUCUGAUUAGCUAGUUGGUGAGGUAAUGGCUCACCAAGGCGACGAUCAGUAGCCGACCUGAGAGGGUGAUCGGCCACAUUGGAACUGAGACACGGUCCAAACUCCUACGGGAGGCAGCAGUGGGGAAUAUUGCACAAUGGGCGAAAGCCUGAUGCAGCAACGCCGCGUGAGCGAUGAAGGCCUUCGGGUCGUAAAGCUCUGUCCUCAAGGAAGAUAAUGACGGUACUUGAGGAGGAAGCCCCGGCUAACUACGUGCCAGCAGCCGCCGCAGUAA